UGAUUGAAGGACUCCUAGAUU
ensembl:piRNA 21ur-5257 ncRNA